rnacentral:misc_RNA from 1 species
AGUCGUAACAAGGUUUCCGUAGGUGAACCUGCGGAAGGAUCAUUACCGAGUGAGGGCCCUCUGGGUCCAACCUCCCACCCGUGUUUAUCGUACCUUGUUGCUUCGGCGGGCCCGCCGCAAGGCCGCCGGGGGGCAUCUGCCCUCUGGCCCGCGCCCGCCGAAGACACCAUUGAACGCUGUCUGAAGAUUGCAGUCUGAGCAAUUAGUUAAAUAACUUAAAACUUUCAACAACGGAUCUCUUGGUUCCGGCAUCGAUGAAGAACGCAGCGAAAUGCGAUACGUAAUGUGAAUUGCAGAAUUCAGUGAAUCAUCGAGUCUUUGAACGCACAUUGCGCCCCCUGGUAUUCCGGGGGGCAUGCCUGUCCGAGCGUCAUUGCUGCCCUCAAGCACGGCUUGUGUGUUGGGCUCCGUCCUCCUCCCGGGGGACGGGCCCGAAAGGCAGCGGCGGCACCGCGUCCGGUCCUCGAGCGUAUGGGGCUUCGUCACCCGCUCUGUAGGCCCGGCCGGCGCUUGCCGACACAUCAAUCUUUUUUCCAGGUUGACCUCGGAUCAGGUAGGGAUACCCGCUGAACUUAAGCAUAUCAAUAAGCGGAGGA